UGGUUUUAAACAGGGUGGAUGCCAGGGCAUAUCGAUGGAUUCCGAGAGCAAAGAAAAUGCAAGACCAGAUGUUUCAAUCAUUGAAUAUAAUGGUUUUAAAAUAGGAUGAUAAUGAGUAUUCCCUUUCAAAAAUUUGGAGUAGAGACAUACAGUAGAGACACAGUGUUGAAAAGGGAUUCACUCUCGGAUUACACUUGCUCUGACUCCCUGUGUAUAAAACCGACAUCUCCAGCUGCUUUCCAAUUCGAGAAGCCUCCUCUACUGUUACGCGAUAUCAGGCUUAUCCAUCACAAUCAACAUCACCGAAGACUGGGUUGGCUACCUAUGAUCUAUCUGAGCUGCAAAUUGAGGGUGAUGGAAAUUGCCAAUUUCGAGCAAUAGCUGAUCUCUUGUUUCGCAAUCCAGAUUACCAUAAGCAUGUUGGAAAGCAGGUAUGACUGAUCAAAGGCAUCUACUUCAUUCCUCAUGUUAGCUCUUUCCCUUGAUAGGCACUUCUUUACCUUGCUUUAGUUACUGCUAGGCAAAACUAAUACCAGAAUUUUUCAAAACAAAAUAAAUAGUCUUUGUGAGCUUAAGAGUUUUACACUAUGAUGGAAGACAAACAUUUAUCAGAUUUUCGAGUGUUUUUUCACUUAUCUCAAUAUUUACUUCACCGUUAACAGAUCACUUUUAACUUGCUUUCAGACACUGCAAUUUCUAAGUUGCUUUAAUUUCACAUUUACCACACAUGUGAUUUAACAUAUAUCCAUUAUU